ensembl:lncRNA
UUUGACCUGACCAGAAUUCCUUUCUUCGUUUUGUCAUAAGCAGCAUUCUGACUUUCUGUUGGACAUAAACUACUUUUAUACCACGAACCGCUGAAGAGCAUCACUUUCAUGUAACCUUCACACACUAUCUCCAAGGGCAAGCACAGGAGUCAGUACUUGCCAAUCCGAGAGAUUCAUUCUCCAGCCCAAAAUAAUAGGGCCUGUGAUCCAAGAAAGGCCUCAUGAUCUCUGUUGGAACUACAGAGACAGUAAUUCUUUCAUAGGAGUUGCAAUGCAGAAUUAGAUUAGAGAGAGUAGUAUUUUUCACCUUGUAGAAAGACAUAGCUUGCAAAUUAACCCAGUUGGAAGAAAAAUAGGGCCAAGGGAAGAAGACAAAGAAUGAGAGAAUUAACCCUGUUGACAUUGUUUGAAUUACUGGUUCAAUCUGUGUCUGAUCUCUUAGCUAGGGAGUUUAUCCCCAGAUAAUUCUGUCACUUCUAAACAUUUUCUUUUUUAGAAAAUUAAUACAAUUUAAUUGUUUUCUGUUAUUUGUAAUCAAAAGAGAACUGCCUAUUACAGUUGUGUUUAUUAACUUCGAAAUAAUAUUUACUGAUUAUUUUUCUGGUUUAUUCAUAAUGAGAUGUAGACCAAAAACUUGUGGAUUACACAAUGUAAAUCCCUCCUCACUAAUGGAGAAUAAAAACCCAGAAGCAUAUUUUUUGUGACUUAUGUAAAUUUCAUUAUUUUGCUUUUAAAUAAGCACAUAUUUUUAUAUAUUUUUUUAAAAACUAAACUUCAAAGACCACUUCUGUAUUCCAAUCUGUAAAAAAUAUUUUCAUUAUGUUUAUUAUAAAAAUAUAAAUGUUUCCACUACAAAUCAUUUUACAUUAGUAAGAGGCCAUCUACAUUGUACAACAUAAACUGAGUAAUAUUUUGAAAAGACAAGUUUAAAGUAAACACAUACUGCCAAUCAUAUCACAUUUAUACAUGGCUUGAUUGAUAUUUAGCACAGCAUAAACUGAGUGAGUUACCAGAAAUAAAUAAUAUAUGCAAAUCAAAUUUAAGAUACAAAACAGAUCAUAUGGUACAUAACAUCGUGAAGGAGUUGCGACCUUAUGUUUACUGAAAGUCAAUGCAGUUCCUGUGCAAAGAGAUGGCCAUAAGCAUUCUAGUACCUCUACUCCACGGUUAAGAAUCGUACACUUAUGUUUACAUAUGUACAGGGUAAGAAUUGUGUAAAGGAAAUUUAUGAGAGGUCAAGUAGAAAAAUAUUAAUAAAAUGAAGAACAGUAUAUGGUGUAUACAACCUCUACUUUCAAAUGGAAAUCACAGCCAAAAUAAGUGAAACAGAUUCAACAAUCCUCAACUUCUAUUAGUUUAUGAAAUGCAUGGGUUUUGUUGAGUGUGCUCAGAAUAGUACCUAAAAAAGUAAAUAUUAGUCUGGGAAAAAAUUAGAUUGAAACCAUAUUCAGAUCUCAUUCUAACACUCCAAACACAAAAUACUUGAUUAAAAAAAACGUUUUCUAACUGCUGACAGGAGGUAUAAUGAAAUUUGUGAUUAAUUUUAUAAUCACAAGUGUAUUUUUAAAAAUGUCAUGCUC